rnacentral:rRNA from 1 species
AACGAACGCUGGCGGCAGGCUUAACACAUGCAAGUCGAGCGCCCCGCAAGGGGCGCGGCCGACGGGUGAGUAACGCGUGGGAACGUACCUUUUGGUUCGGAACAACUCCGGGAAACUGGAGCUAAUACCGGAUAAGCCCUAACGGGGAAAGAUUUAUCGCCGAAAGAUCGGCCCGCGUCUGAUUAGCUAGUUGGUGAGGUAACGGCUCACCAAGGCGACGAUCAGUAGCUGGUCUGAGAGGAUGAUCAGCCACAAUGGGGCUGAGCCACGGCCCAGACUCCUGCGGGAGGCAGCAGUGGGGAAUAUUGGACCAUGGGCGGAAGCCUGAUCCAGCCAUGCCGCGUGAGUGAUGAAGGCCUUAGGGUUGUAAAGCUCUUUUGUCCGGGAAGAUAAUGACUGUACCGGAAGAAUAAGCCCCGGCUAACUUCGUG